UCUAGGCUUAGUGACGUAACUCUUCCGAGGGACACAAAAAACACCAAAACAGAUUUCACCAUCAUCUUACAAAUUUUUGGAUGAAAUCCGUUAAAGGGACCCACGAUGGACACGUGUCAAUAAGACAUCUAUACUAUUAUUUUAAAACAGGAAAACUUAAAUACAUAUAGAGUGCCACGUGUACAUUUUUUUUUUUAAAUUUUUUUUUUUAUUUUUGACAUACUCAUCCGGAUGUUUAUCUUUCUAUUUCCUGGACUUGAGUUUCUUCCCAAACAACGCUUCCCUUCGGUUCCACAAUUAAAAAUUACCAAACAACGUUUCAAUCACCUUUAAUUUCUCCGUUUAAGAUUUAUAAAUAGAUUGAAAAAUGAACAUUAAAGAUUGUAUUAUGGCCAUUGAUGAAGGUCGUAGGUUUGUGAUCCCUCCUAUACUCCCACUGUUUUUAUUUUAAAAAAAAUUAAUUAAUUUUCAUAGUACAUACAAUUUCUAAUUUUUACUUGUGAUAAUUUUUCAAAUUGUUGAUUAAAAUGCUUUUUUGGGUGAAGGGCCAAUGGUAUAUGGAUUCUUCUACAGUUUUGUUUCUUUUUAAAAUACUCUUGCUUCAGUAAAGUUUGCAGGUUUGCCCCUGUUUUUCAAUAAAUUUUAAGUUAAUUUUUCUCUAAUAUUUGGCCUUUUGUUGAUUAAUAAGUAAAUGGUUUCGUAAGUUGAUUAAUUGCUUAUUGCUUAUGAAUGAUUUUGCCUCACGAAGAUUAACUAUUUUUAUUUUUUUUUUUGAGGGAAUUAACUCUUAGUAAUUGCUACUCUGUAUGAUUUUGAUCCAACUUCCGUUAUUCAAUUUUAAGUAUCAAUUAAAUUUCUCUUCCUUAGAAUUUUAAGUAUCAACUUUCGUAAUACUCUUAGUACGCUAAAUUAAAUUUGGAAUUCUGUUUCUCUUGCUUUUUUUUUCUUCCCCAAUUAUGAUUUUUGAUGCAUGUUACCUGUUUCUUGGUGACUGAUUGUUUAUUAAUUUUUUCUAUUGUGAAUUCCCUUAAAGUCUGAAGCGCUUCCAUCUUUCAAACCAGGAAGACAAACUGAUAAUCAAUCGUUAGUUUACAAUCUGCAAUUGUCACAAAUUUCGUCAAUGUCAUCAGAUAUAUUUAAUAGGUACACAUGCAGAUCGUCAAUGCCUCAAUGGGAAUAUGCAUUAAGGUCGCUAUUUCAUGGUUGUACAACAAUUAUUAGUGAUGUCAAUUCAUGAAUGUAGCUGUUAUUAGUAAAAUAGUAAUAGAUGCAUUACAUAUAUUGUAUUAAUUUUAUAAUUGAAAGGUGGAUUGUUUUAAAUAACUUCAUGGUCGUGUGACCAAUAUUACUUCUAAAUGCUACGGAGUACUAUUUA